rnacentral:rRNA from 1 species
CCACGCCUACGGGACGCAGCAGUAGGGAAUCUUCCACAAUGGACGAAAGUCUGAUGGAGCAACGCCGCGUGAGUGAAGAAGGGUUUCGGCUCGUAAAGCUCUGUUGGUAGUGAAGAAAGAUAGAGGUAGUAACUGGCCUUUAUUUGACGGUAAUUACUUAGAAAGUCACGGCUAACUACGUGCCAGCAGCCGCGGUAAUACGUAGGUGGCAAUCGUUGUCCGGAUUUAUUGGGCGUAAAGC